rnacentral:rRNA from 1 species
UACGUAGGUGGCAAGCGUUGUCCGGAAUUACUGGGUGUAAAGCGCGUGUAGGCGGCAGACCAAGUCGGCGGUGAAAGCGCCCGGCUCAACUGGGCGAGGUCCGUGGAAACUGGUCAGCUGGAGGACGGUAGAGGCGAGUGGAAUUCCCGGUGUAGUGGUGAAAUGCGUAGAGAUCGGGAGGAACACCUGUGGCGAAGGCGGCUCGCUGGGCCGGUCCUGACGCUGAGACGCGAAGGCGUGGGGAGCAAACAGG